rnacentral:rRNA from 1 species
AUUGAACGCUGGCGGCAGGCCUAACACAUGCAAGUCGAGCGAGCGGCGGACGGGUGAGUAAUGUCUGGGAAACUGCCUGAUGGAGGGGGAUAACUACUGGAAACGGUAGCUAAUACCGCAUACAUUCAGAGGGCCCAGGAGGGGAUUAGCUAGUAGGUGGGGUAACGGCUCACCUAGGCGACGAUCCCUAGCUGGUCUGAGAGGAUGACCAGCCACACUGGAACUGAGACACGGUCCAGACUCCUACGGGAGGCAGCAGUGGGGAAUAUUGCACAAUGGGCGCAAGCCUGAUGCAGCCAUGCCGCGUGUAUGAAGAAGGCCUUCGGGUUGUAAAGUACUUUCAGCGGGGAGGCGUUACCCGCAGAAGAAGCACCGGCUAACUCCGUGCCAGCCGCCGCGGUAAUUC